UCUGGAUGGAGAUGUGUAUGGGAACUGUUGAGUCACGGCCAGAAUCACUGAUUGAUCACCUGGAGAAAGGACCAGGUCAGCCCUGGGAGCACAGGUGAAGGCAAUUCAGCUGUGUGACCAGAAGGGGUGGAGCCUGGCUGCACCUCUCUUAGACCCCGUGUAAGGGCUGAGUGCCACUUGGAAUGGAUCUGUUUCUGGAGAUCUCUCUCUGGUGGAGCUUUCCCCUGUGAACCUGGAAUCUUCUGAUAUGGUGAGGGUGGUGAGGCGUUGGAACAGGUUGCCCAGUGAUGUGGUUGAUGCCCCAUCCCCAGAGACUUUCAAGGUAGGACUUUUGGUCCCUUUAUUGCAUAUUCAGUGUUAAAGAAUGAUAACCUUCAGAAUGGCACCUCUUACGACUAUGCUACGGUUAAGUUUUUCGAAUCAACUGAAAGCAAGGAGCCUCUUGGGAGUCCAACAUCUUAGGUCUCUACAACACAAACACACCUGUCUUUGUAACUAUUAAGCCACACACUCAAAAGAUUUAUUUGGAUUUAAUUGCCACCAUCUGCUGACUCACUCUAUGGGGGGAAGGAGGGAACCAAAACUUGCUAUUGUCAGUCCAGUUAGUUUGCUAUGAGAGGGUCUCACAAUUUUUGUUCAGUCUUGAGUCUUUGCUUCAACAAAGAUGACAUUUACCCAGACCUCUGCAUGGUCUGUUUGAAAAAUGACACAGUUGUAAUUCCAAGAGCUCAAAACAUAUCUGAAAAUCUCUCUAUUUUUGUCUUUUUCCUCUCCCAUUCUAUCUGGAUUUGAGAAUCCACUUGGAUAGUGGCUGACGUAAUUCUCACCUGAUGCUUAAAUAACUGCACUAUAAAUUGAAGCGUUUCCAUCUGUUCUUGUGAAUACAACCUAAACUAUCCAUCAUGUGCCAUUUCUUGGAGCUGGGUAGGUUGGCACUAAAAUACUAGAGUGAAAACUACUGCAUUUCAGCAAAUGCUUCAAAAUUUCUGAAAAGGUUCUUGUGUAUGAUCACGGGAGGAAAACUUGAGACCUAUUUAGCUUCAUAUAUGCUGAUCUUUAGACAUCUUGCAGUAAAUUUAACCGAAAGUGGAUUCUUUUAAUGUUUACUAAUUUAAACUCAUUUUCAUUCUUAAACUAUCACAAUUUGAAAAACACCAAAAAUAUUGAGCUGUUAGACGCAUACUCAAAUUAGGAUCUGAAAUAGAAAUUUUC
ensembl:lncRNA